rnacentral:rRNA from 1 species
UGGGGAAUUUUGGACAAUGGGCGAAAGCCUGAUCCAGCAAUGCCGCGUGUGUGAGGAAGGCCUUCGGGUUGUAAAGCACUUUUGUCCGGAAAGAAAUCCUCUGGGUUAAUACCCCCGGGGGGCAUGACGGUACCGGAAGAAUAAGCACCGGCUAACUACGUGCCAGCAGCCGCGGUAAUACGUAGGGUGCAAGCGUUAAUCGGAAUUACUGGGCGUAAAGCGUGCGCAGGCGGUUUUGUAAGACGGAUGUGAAAUCCCCGGGCUUAACCUGGGAACUGCAUUCGUGACUGCAAGGCCAGAGUAUGGCAGAGGGGGGUAGAAUUCCACGUGUAGCAGUGAAAUGCGUAGAGAUGUGGAGGAAUACCGAUGGCGAAGGCAGCCCCCUGGGCCAAUACUGACGCUCAUGCACGAAAGCGUGGGGAGCAAACAGGAUUAGAUACCCUGGUAGUCCACGCCC